rnacentral:rRNA from 1 species
UACGUAGGGGGCAAGCGUUGUCCGGAUUUAUUGGGCGUAAAGAGCGUGUAGGCGGCCCGACAGGUCCGUUGUGAAAACUCGAGGCUCAACCUCGAGACGUCGAUGGAAACCGUCGGGCUAGAGUCCGGAAGAGGAGAGUGGAAUUCCUGGUGUAGCGGUGAAAUGCGCAGAUAUCAGGAAGAACACCAAUGGCGAAGGCAGCUCUCUGGGACGGUACUGAUGCUGAGACGCGAAAGCGUGGGGAGCGAACAGG